UGGGCAUCUUUGUACCCCUAAUUCUACUUCGGACACUUGUCCAUUUUUACCUCUCGUCUCACUCUUUUUCUUUCUUUUCCGAGGUUCCGGGCACUUGCCCCUUUUUAUUUGCUCGUAUGUUUUUUGCAUAACCCAUGCCUCUUCUACAUUGAAUCUUUUUAGAGAGAGAAUAACAAUACUUGGGACAGUGAGUGAUAAUAUAUUUUUUUAGCAAUUUUAAUGAUUAAUGCUGUGGUAGAUGCGUGCA
rnacentral:lncRNA from 1 species